UCCUGGAUUCGGCCUGGACAUGACGACUUUGCCAUGUGUAGGCUCAGGUGUGCCUACAAUCCGCGACGCCCAAGACCUGUUCGGUCAUUUGCGCGAUCGAAUUUGGAUGGGCACUAGCUCGAUCGAGUUUCUCUACAA